rnacentral:rRNA from 1 species
GGAUGAAAUGGGGGGAAACCCCUGACGCAGCGACGCCGUGUGAGGGAAGAAGGCUUUCGGGUCGUAAACCUCUGUCGGGAAGGAAGAACCCCUCGGGUCCCAAUAGGGCUCGAGGCUGACGGUACUUCCAAAGGAAGCACCGGCUAACUCCGUGCCAGCAGCCGCGGUAAUACGGAGGGUGCAAGCGUUAAUCGGAAUCACUGGGCGUAAAGCGCGCGUAGGCGGCCUUUUAAGUCGGACGUGAAAGCCCUCGGCUCAACCGGGGAAUUGCGUUCGAUACUGGGAGGCUUGAGUCCUGGAGAGGGUGGCGGAAUUCCGGGUGUAGGAGUGAAAUCCGUAGAUAUCCGGAGGAACACCGGUGGCGAAGGCGGCCACCUGGACAGGUACUGACGCUGAGGCGCG